CAGGACAGAAGGUCGAUAAUACAAAAUUUGGGAUCUACUGUCAUCGUAACCAGAACAAUGCCGUCUGUCCAGAUAUUGGUUGUCCUCAUGGUUGUGUGCAGCCUCGCAGCCGCAGAGUACCCAAUAGACUCCAACAGUCCGCAAGCACUCAAGCUAAUGUUAGACGGUGAGUGUCACUGUACAUGGUAUUGUAACCCCGACCAAUGCGAAGCAGGAAUUACCUAUCGUCGUUGUACUUGGGGUGCGGUAUAUUGCUGUAGUCGUUCGAAAUAUCCGUGUGGUAUACAAUAUUCUUGGGGGAAAUGAAUGGCCUUGACAAAGAUAUGGGUAAGACUUUGUAUAUACGCUUGUGUUUUGAACUUACGUUGUGACUAACUAAUCAUCUGUUUUUUCUACUAAUUGAUAUAAAUUAAGAUUACCCAUUUUCGAGCUCCCCUUGUCGUUAACCCAUUUAUGCCUAGUGGACUCUCCCAUCCUUCUAAAUUGGAUCAAUUUAUUUCCAAAAUUAGGGAUGUCUAGUAUACUUAUUUCUAUAUAUAGAAUAUUUCUCACAGAAAUUCCUUUAAACAAACACCGCAGACCCUAAUGAGACGCCGCAAUAUGCGGCAUCUCAUCUGGGUCUACGCUGUUUGCCAAGGCCUUUUUUCUAGAUGCUAGGCAUAAAUGGGUUAAAAAUAUGCGACUCUUUGUACAAACGUAUUUUAUAAGCCAUCUCGUUUCUAAUUCUCUUCGGUUAAAUUACUCAGUUUGUUAUUCAAUUAACUUCGAAAAUUGAAAUCUCUUUUCACUAUAACGCUUCUUUGUGUGUAUAUUCGCAACAAUAUGAGUCGUGUUCUGAGAAAACUGUGCAUAAUGCAUGUGCGUACAGUGUCAUCCCAGAUUAGCCUAUUCAGUCCGCACAGGCUAAUCAGGGUGGAACACAUUCCGCCUGAACUUGAUUUUCGGUAAGGAGGAACUUCCUUGAAACUAAAAAUACCAUUAAAGCGGAAAGUGUCGUCUCAGAUUCACCUGUGCGGACUGCACAGGCUAAUCUGGGACGACACUUUACGCACAUGCAUUAAGCCCAGUUUUCUCAGAACACGACACAUAUAUUAAACAUAAUGGGUGAUUCAUUGUAAGUAAACGAGUAUGUUGUUAUCACGUUUCUUUAUUUUCUGUCAGAUAGCCGGGUGGAAUACUACUGUUUCAAUGUUUGCCAAAGACAUAUUUGCUGAUCUUGCCAAUAAAUUGAAACUGAAACUAUUGUUUUAGUCAAAUAAAUAGACUUGAAACUUG